GGGACCUGCGGAAGGAUCAUUAUCUAUUCCAUGAGGUGCGGUCGCGGCCCUCGGCGGGAGCAACAGCUGCCGUCGGGCGGUAGAGGUAACACUUUCACGCGCCGCAUGUCUGAAUCCUUUUUUUACGAGCACCUUUCGUUCUCCUUCGGCGGGGCAACCUGCCGUUGGAACCUAUCAAAACCUUUUUUUGCAUCUAGCAUUACCUGUUCUGAUACAAACAAUCGUUACAACUUUCAACAAUGGAUCUCUUGGCUCUGGCAUCGAUGAAGAACGCAGCGAAAUGCGAUAAGUAGUGUGAAUUGCAGAAUUCAGUGAAUCAUCGAAUCUUUGAACGCACAUUGCGCCCCUUGGUAUUCCAUGGGGCAUGCCUGUUCGAGCGUCAUCUACACCCUCAAGCUCUGCUUGGUGUUGGGCGUCUGUCCCGCCUCUGCGCGCGGACUCGCCCCAAAUUCAUUGGCAGCGGUCCUUGCCUCCUCUCGCGCAGCACAUUGCGCUUCUCGAGGUGCGCGGCCCGCGUCCACGAAGCAACAUUACCGUCUUUGACCUCGGAUCAGGUAGGGAUACCCGCUGAACUUAAGCAUAUCAAUAA
rnacentral:rRNA from 1 species